GCAACCUGGGCUGGUGGAAGGUGUCCCUGCCCAUGGCAGGGGAUGGAACUGGAUCAUCUUUAAGAUCCCUCCCAACCCAAACUACUCCAUGAUUCUUUGAGUUCAGCCCAGUGGCAGAAGGGAGGUUGUUGUGGUCACCAAAGGAAGGUUGUUAUGGCCACCAAAAGGAGGUUGUUGUGGUCACCCCAAGUGAGGUUGUUGUGGUCACCCCAGUGAGGUUGUUGUGGUACCCCAGUGGGGUUUUUGUGGCCACCCAAGUGAGAUUUAUGUGGUCACCAAAGGGAGGUUAAUGAUCACCACACUCCCAGGCCUGCGGGUCACCACAACCUCCUUCCUGCUAAAGCCCUUUGCCCCUUCUGGCCACCAGUAUUUCAAACCACCCACUUUUGAAACUAAAAGAUCAGGGAUUCCCAAGAAUCCAAGAGUUGGGCAUCCCUCAGCCUGGAGAUCAGAACAUUUUAAGUCUUCCCAUCCACUUUUUCCACACUUGUCCUUAAGUUGAAGCUCAGUUUUGCUCUCCCUGGUGUGAAGGGGGGUGAGGAACCACAGAACUGGUCACCACACUUCCCCAGUGUCUCACUGACACUUUACUGGGAUUUCCCACUGUCUCCCUCGUGGUGAUUUCAAGCAACUAAAUUUUGGAGUCCAACCUCUCUGUGCAUGUCAAGACGAAGCAUCACCCCCUUGAGGGAGGAAACACCAAGUUCAUUAUCCCUGGCAAUUAAUCUGGGCAAUCACUGUGGGUUUCAGUGUUUGUGUAAACCACAGUUUACCCAAAUCUAUGUUUUCGUAGCCACCCCACAACCCACCAAGGACAAGCAAAGAUCUUCAAGGCAGUGAAAAUGCCCUCACUUUGUUCCUGUUGUGUCUCAAGAGCACUUAGCAGGCAGAAAAAGGACAUUUGGAGAGAACAUUUGCCCCAUCCACAUCUCCAAAUCAGAGUGUAUAAGUAUAUAUUUAUAUAUGUAUAUAUAAAAUAUAUGUAUUUAUAUAGUUUUAUCACCCCGGGAGCUGGAUGGGAUUAAAAAAACAGAGCUGUUGUGCUCCUGCUGUUGCAGUCAGGGAGUGGUUUAGGUGCCUUCCCCUCCCAAAAUGGAGCUCAGGGCAGUCCUGGCUGUCAGCUUGGGUGUUCCUUUCACAAGACACGACUCCCUGUCCGGAUCCAGCCACGUCAAACAGCUUCCAACUAAACACAGGGCCCGGCUCUCACCGGCUCUGAGGCCAAAGAUGUCCCUCUCCAACAACAUUUAUGUUCAUUUAAGAGCCUCCUGCUCACUUCCAGGAGCUAAAGGAUGGGUGGAUGCAAAGUCCAUCCUCACCACAAAGGGUUGGAUUUGUAGGAUUCAGCCAAAUUCUCCACUUGGGAAGGAGAGAAACUCUUCCCUCCAAACCCCUCCAAAGUGUUCCCAGUUACCUGCACUCUUGAAACCUUCGUUUCUGCUUUCUGGGUGACCUUUUCCAUUGUUUGGUGUGUUUUGAAGAUUCAGGGAGAAGUGGAUCCUUGUUUUCCUGCCUCGUGUUUUUAUUUUUGUUAACCUUCGCUCGGUCAGUACCAACCACUCGGCAUUUUUCUCCUUGUCCUAAAAAAGGGUUGCAUCGACAGAGUUACUUGUAUUUAUGUCUGUAAAUAGAUUUCAAAAGCUUCAUAGCAAGAUAUUUAGUGCUUGUAAUUGCUCUGCCUUUUUUUUCAUUUGUUUGUUUUCCCAUUUUUCCGUGUUUUUAAUGAACUUACCUUUGUGUUCGCUUAAAUACUGUACUGAGACUUGUUUUUUUCCCAAUGGGUUAUUUUUCAGGCUUCAAGAUGAACUACAUUUAAUUCACUUUUGUAAACAGUUAUAGCAUGGUCUCUUAUCCAAGAACAUCCUUCACUUUUUUUGUGGGAGGGGACAAAUGAACGUGCAGAAAAUCCGCGGGUUUUUUGCGGGAUUUCGGUUCCAUCUCUCCUUCCAACAAAAAGCUGAACUUCCAGGGUGAGGUGGUGAGGACACAGCAGGCCCCAAAGGGCAUCUGUUCAGCAUUUUCUGGCUAUGUUUACAAAACAUUUCCAGAAAGGGGAAACCACCAGCUUGUGGAAGUUGGCUUUUUUUGGGGGGUUUUUUUCGAGGGUUUGAUCACAGGGGAUUUUUCCUCUCGGGGAGGGAGGGAGGGAGGGAGUGGCUGCUGUCUUUUUUUUUUUUGGAAGAAGAUAGGAAAAGAGAAUAGAGUGGAUUUUUUCCCCCCCACUGCAGGAAGUUCUCUGAAUGCCAGGUCAGACUCUUGCUGUCCUGUGUCCAGCACCACAGGAGAAUUCAUUACAACUACACCCGGGGCAGCUGGACUGCUGCGUUAGUUCUAAUGAAGACCUUUUCUUUCUUUUCUUUUUCUUUCUUUCUUUCUUUGUACCACAGUUUCCUCUGUAAAUUCAGUAUCAUAAUUAGUGUGAAUGACAAAUAAAAUGUUUGACAAGUAUGCA